GGACCCGCACAAGCGGUGGAGUAUGUGGCUUAAUUCGAUGCAACGCGAAGAACCUUACCUAGGCUUGACAUGUAUUGCUAAGCACGUGAAAGCGUGUGACUCUUCGGAGACCUUACACAGGUGCUGCAUGGCCGUCGUCAGCUCGUGUCGUGAGAUGUUUGGUUAAGUCCAGCAACGAGCGCAACCCCUGUGGAUAGUUGCCAGCACGUAAUGGUGGGGACUCUAUCCAGACUGCCCAGGUCAACUGGGAGGAAGGUGGGGAUGACGUCAGGUCAGUAUGGCCCUUACGCCUAGGGCUGCACACGUACUACAAUGCCCAGUACAAUGAGAACCGAGACCGCGAGGUGGAGGAAA
rnacentral:rRNA from 1 species